UGGGGCGGGGGCUUACCAUCUCACAGUGACUCUUCAGGAAGCCUUUUCAGAGCUGAACAGACAUGGUGGGCUUUCAUCCUUGCUCUCAGCAGCUAGAGAGAACGUGGCAGGGUUUCCUAUGGUGCAGACUGGCUUUGAACUCACUAUGAAGCUGAGGUUUGCCCUGUAUUCUUGCCUUCCUGCUCCACCUCCCCAGUACUGGGGUUAGAGGUUUACAUCACCACACCCGGUUUACUAGACGCUGGGGAUCCAAGCCAGGGCUUCCUUCACGAUAAAAGGCAUUCUACCAACUGAGAGACAGCCCCAACCUGAAAUUCUCUCAGAUUUUGUCCUCCUUGAUCCAAGUGACCAGGCGUUUCUGAAGACUCGUUCACUUAGUUAUUCACUGACUCACCAAAGUCUUGAGCAGCUGCUAUGUGAUCAGGCUCAUGCCCUGGUCUCAGCGGGAACUAAGCCCCACUAGCUCCACAGGGAAAGCGUACAUGGUGCGGCAGACAUCUGGGAACCAGCACAGAGCAAGAGCGAGUCAAGAAGGGUUUUCGGAAGCAGCAUCUAGAUCGAGUCUUAAGGAAUGAGAAGACAGACGGGCGCCAGUUUUACAAAACUGUAGAGAAAAUUUCCCCUGACCAAAGUCACAGAGGCCAGAACUGUGUGUGCGAGGGAUGUCAUGUUGUUUGGAGCUCCCAGAAUGAAACCCAGGGGACAGGAGUCAAAGCAGCAGAGAGCGGCUGGCACUGGGUCAGAACGAGCCUUUGGCACUGGGUCAGAACGAGCCUUUAGCACCAUUGCAGAGGCAGGCAGAACAGAGGUGCUAAAACAACCACAUCAUUUACCUGCGGAACCCCCCAGUCA